rnacentral:lncRNA from 1 species
CAGGAACAACAACUGGAACCACACCAAGUACCACAACAGGUACCACUCCAGAAACAACUCCUGCCACAACAACAGAGUGUGUUCCCGGCAGCAGAGAAAGAAUAUGUGAUUGGAGUGAAUGGAUUAACGAUGAUUCUGGACAAAUGCAAUCUGAGAGUGCUUCAGCUGAGGAAGUUGAACUACUUGAAGAUGCCCGGCACUUCCCCGGUUUCCCUGAAGAUUGCCACGUAUACGGUAUCCAGUGCAGGACUGUAGACACACAUGUUAUGUGGAAUGAAACUACUGACGCUGUUACCGUUGAUGUUAAUACAGGUCUUCGCUGUAUUAAUAUACUAGGAAGACCAAUAUGUCUGGACUAUGAAUGUAGAUGGAUGUGCUGCAGUUGGCACACUGUCACUUGCACACCACCUGGAACAACCACAGAAGG